GACGAACGCUGGCGGCGUGCCUAACACAUGCAAGUCGAGCGGAGAUAAUAGCAAUAUUAUCUUAGCGGCGGACGGGUGAGUAACGCGUGGGCAACCUGCCUUGUACAGGGGGAUAACACAGGGAAACUUGUGCUAAUACCGCAUAACAUCAUGAGAGGACAUCCUCUUAUGAUCAAAGGAGCAAUCCGGUAUAAGAUGGGCCCGCGUCCGAUUAGCUAGUUGGUGGUGUAACGGACCACCAAGGCGACGAUCGGUAGCCGAACUGAGAGGUUGAUCGGCCACAUUGGGACUGAGAUACGGCCCAGACUCCUACGGGAGGCAGCAGUGGGGAAUAUUGCGCAAUGGGGGAAACCCUGACGCAGCAACGCCGCGUGAAGGAUGAAGGUUUUCGGAUUGUAAACUUCUUUGAUGAGGGACGAAUAAAUGACGGUACCUCAAAAACAAGCCACGGCUAACUACGUGCCAGCAGCCGCAGUAA
rnacentral:rRNA from 1 species